AGAGAGCUUCUCUGCCAGCCCACGUCAUUGCCACACUUGGGGAGCUCAUGCUUUGGUUGCUGUGGGAGUUCUCUCCAACUCCACUGAUCUCAGAGCCGCUGUCCACUGUGCCUGAACAGACUGUUUCUUGACUUGCAGUAGACAACAAAGUCAGCCCCCUUCGAGGUCCAACUUCAAUCUGACAGUCAUUUAGUGUGAUGGGAAUACAAUAGGGACAAAAAGCAUCUGUGCCCUCUGGGGGCUCAUGCGCUACUUGAAGGAUCCAGUGAAAGUCAGGGAAGCCAGCAGUAGAGGCCAGAGUUGGAGGCCUGAGACAGAGGCCAAAGGGAGAGGCUAGAGGAGCAGACCAGAGGAAGAAUGGUACUUCAGAGAAGAAGCACGCUGAGGAGGCCCCUUGGAUGGAGCCAUCAUGGAAGAAGAGCCAAGAGGUCAGUGUUGGAGCUCUCCCUCCCUCUGCGGCUCCCCAGUGUUGUGCAAAAUAAAGGCUUGGAGGAGAUGAUCUCUUCUAGCACUG